rnacentral:lncRNA from 1 species
UAUUAAAUAUAUAUAUAUUAAAUAUAUAUAUAUAUAUAUAUAUAUUAUACACACACACACACACUCACUCACACACAAUGGAACUCUUAAAACUCAACAAAUACACAGAUUAAAAACUGAACAAAGGAUGAGAAUAGACAUUUCUCUAAUGAAGAUAUAUAAAUGAUCAACAAGGAUAUGAGAAAUAAAUAUUUACCAUCACUAUUCAAUAAAACAAUGCCAGUGAAAUCCACAAUAAAAUAUCACCCACAUCUGUUAUGAUGGCUGUUAUUGAAAAAAAGGUAAAUGUUGGUAAGGUUGUGGAAAAACUGGAACUCUUUGUACACUGUUGAUGGGAAUGUAAAGUGUUGCAACCAUUAUGGAAAACAAUGUGGGAAUUCCUCAAAAAAAUUUUUUUUUAAAUGUGACCCUAUCUCACUUCUGGGUAUACACCCAACAGAAUUAAAAACAGGACCUUCAGUUAUCUGAACUAUCAUGUUAAUUGCAGCAUUAUUCACUUAAGUCAAAAUAUAGAAACAACCCAAAUGCUUAUAUACAUGCAAUGGAAUAUUAUUGUGCUUUAACAAAGAAGGAAAUUCCACAAUUUGAGAUAAUGUGGAUGGACUUAUAAAACAUGAUAAGUGAAAUAACUUAGAAACAGAAAGACAAAUACUGAAUGUUUACUCUUAGAAGUGGCAUCUGAAAGAAUCCAAGGUAUAGAAGACAAUACAAUGGUGGCUUCCAAGGAAUAGGGGUGUUGUUCAAUAGGUAUAGAAUUAUAGUUAUACAAGAUGAGUAAGUUUCAGAGAUUUGCUGUAUGCUUUUAUAGUUAACAAUAAGAUAUUAUAUGCUUCAAAAUUUAUUAACAGAGUAGAUCUCAUGCUAAUUGUUCUUACCACACACCAAAACAAACAAACAAAAAAACCCAAUAAACAAACAAAAAACCUAUAAAGAAUCACAAAGAAACUUUAGUGGAGUGAUGGAUAUAUGUAUUACCUGGAUGGUGAGGAUUGUAACAUGAGUACAUUCAUACAUACAAGCUCACCAAAUUGUAUACAUUAGUUAUAUGUGACUUUCAUACCAAUCAUUCCUUAUUAAAACUGGUAGGGAAAUCUGGGAGCAAUGACAUAUGCCUGUAAUCCCAGCAAUUUAGGAUGCUGAGGUAGGAGGAUUGCAAAUUCAAAGCCAACCUCAGCAAUUUAGCAAGACCUUGUCUCAAAAUAAAAAAUAAAAGAGGACUAGGAAGGUAGAUCAGAGAUAAAGCACUCCUGGGUUAAUUCCCAGUACCACAAAGAAAACUAGGGGAAAGAGAAGAGUUUCUAUUUUACAUCAUUAUUUCUAUGUUAGUUACUUGGAUUUCUAUGUAAAAAAAUCUUUCCUUAUAUUUCAUUUACUCCUUUAUUAAUUUCUAUCACUAUGGAUUUAUAGAUUCCUAUUUUGUGGGCUCUACCCACAACAAACAUAUUAACUCAUUUUCUGCUGCUGUGUUCAAUUAUUUGAGGCUUUAUAAAGAAAAGAAGAUUAUUCAGUUCAGUUUUAGAGGUUAAAAUUCUGAAAUCAUGUGGCCUUAUCAGUUCAGCCUCUGAUGAGGACCCCCUUGACUGACAUAUUGAGACAAUAUGGCAAAUGGCAUCAUGGCAGGUGCAUAUGUAAGAGGGAGAGAUUAUGUGCAAGACAGGAAUCCAGAGAGUGAUUCAGGGACCGGGUUUUCUCCUUUAAAAUAACCCACUCUUGUGAGAAACAACUCAUGUCACAAAAUGAGACCAACAUUCAUCCCUUUAAAAGGCAGAACCACAGUGACCUGACUCCUUCCAGUAGUCACCUCCUCUUAAAAGUUUCAUCACUUCUGGCAUUGACACACUGGGAAUAAGACUCCAAAGCAGGAGCCUUGAGGGACAGAUCACAACCAGAGCAUAGCAAUGAUUAUUUAUUUUAUUGCUCAGAGAGUUUCAGAUUUGUCUAAUGGAAGUUCUUGUCAUCUCCUAUUUCCUUCUGAAAUAUCCACAUAAUUUUUUGAGCACUCUUUCCUUUUUGGUGCAAGAUAUCCCAAACUCAUAUUGCACGUUCCCUGUACCUAUAGAGCAUAAGCUGUUCUUCUAAGGAUCCCCAGGAAUUUUAGUAGGAGAAUGAUAUUUAAAAACCAGUAUCUGUGUAUUGGAUUGCUCAGUAGCAUUAGGAUGUCAUUACUUCUAGGCAUUUUCAGUUGACAGAGAUGAAGAUAUAGACAUAUAUGGUAUAUUAUAACAUAAUAAUAUAUAUUACUCUUAACUUUCUGUGUAUUGUAGAACUGAGCAAACAAGUAAAUCUAGAAUAUCAUUUUAUAUAUGCAUGCAUUCAUAAAUACCUUGUUUUUAAUUGUUGGAAAAGAGUUGCAAAUAAGAUGUGGAGAGGAAGGCUGUAAUGAAUUCUGACUGCAGGUUUGAGAUUGUGAAUAUUAAUAUGAACUCAUGAAAUAUGUAGAGAUAGAUAUAUAUGUACAUAUGUAUAUGUUUGUGUGUGUAUAUAUGCCAUUUCUGCAGACAAGCUGAAAUGUGUGUAUAUAUAUAUGAUUAUAUAUAAGUAAGAUAAAUAAUUAUGCACAUAAUAUCAUAUAAUUAUCAUAAUAUAUGAUACAGAAUAUAAUUUUAACAUGUUACAUACAUGCUAACACACAUCCAUAUCAAUCUCUACAUAUUCCAUGAAUUCACACUGAGAGUCACAAUCUCAAUCUUACAUUUAGAAUUCAUUCCAGCCCUUUCCCCUCUUUCCUUAUGUGUAACUCCUUCUUCCAACAAUAAAAACAUGCCAUGCACGUAUAAUGUUAUGUGUGUAUGUGUGUGUGUGAUAUAUAUAUAUAUAUAUAUAUAUAUAUAUAUAUAUAAUGAAUUGUAUACUAUAUAUUUACUUAUUUGUUAAAUUCUAGAAUUCAUAAAAAGUAGUUUCAGACUUCACAUUUGUGGAGUUUGUACAAUUCUUUUGAAUUUUAGCCAUAAAUAUGGCAACAUACCAUAUCCCGAAGUUACUUCGGUAAUUCUUCCCCUCUGCUGCUUCAUUAUUUUCAUUUCAUCUGUCGUGAAGUUAGCUUCAUUUGAUUAUAUUCCAUUUUGGCACCUCCAUCCUUAUUGGUUUUAAUUAUCUAUUUUUUAGCAUAUAAAGCAUUAACAGUUAAUUAUACAAAAAAAAUAUGUAGGAAGAAGUGUCACUUGCUCCUCCUUUCCUCUGCCUCAUUCCCAUUCCCACAUACUUCCAACCUAAACAAUUUCAUUGAUUUCUAGUUUAUCAGUCAUGUGGAGUAUUUUCCCCCAAAUAAGACUCAUAAGUAUUUUCUUAUUCACUCCUUGUUUCUUUUAUGAAAUGUGGCAUACUGUGGAUGAUUUCCUGUUCUUUGCUUGUUUACUUAAAGAUACAUUUGGAAAACUUUUUAGAGCAUCAGUUCAUAGAGAUACUCCUCAUUUUUCUCUACAGCUACAGGAUAUUUCAAUAGUCCAGAUGUAUUGUGUCUUAAGUACACUCAAUAUAUUUUUUAACUUGAUGUUAUCUCUUAGUCUAUAAAUACAGCUGCUUUCAUAUCUUUGGUUUUCUUACAGUUUGUAUAUUGAAGAACUUGGGGGCAUGUUUCAUGAAGAGAUUUCCACAGUAUGUAUUUUUCCAAUUUCAUACUCUUGGUGCAGCUCAAUAUUUUUCUCCAUUUCCUGUAUAUUUUACAAACUGGCAAUUAUAGUCAGAAGUAUAAACUGGGUUAUUUACUAUCUCUCUGACAAGUAUAUAAGUGGUGGUAAGUUUUUCAUUGGUAGGCAUUAAAUUUUUCCUUACUUCCUUUUUCCCUGACUGUGAGAUACAAUUGAUGUUACAUAGUUUAAAUAUUAUAUAUUAGUUCACUGGGGCCAUAAAAUUGUCAUUUUCUCAUACUACUUUGUUUUUAUUUGUUAACUGGAAAAUUUUAUAAAGAGACACUUCUCUUCAUCUACUAGUUUGUUAUCAAACUGUACAUUUCAUUUAUAGUAUAUAUGCUUGAUUAUUCUCUUACAUUUUUCCUAUUUUCAUAGUAAUGAAUUUGUACUCCAUCAUCCUUAUAUGGUAAUAAAUUAUCUUCUUAAAACAUAAAUAUGAAUUCAUAAAAUUAAGCAUAUUUGAUCAGUUUCACUCCAUUGCCAGUUUUGAUCCUGUUGAGUCUCAAACUAUCCCACCUUUGGCCAGUGGGACCUUCCUAAGUAGACCCCGUGAGUCUUUUUGACAUGACUUUAGUGUUCUUUGAUAAUUUCCUUGCAUCUGGCAUUACGAAAUGUUUCAGGCUUGUUACAAUUCUUUACUGCCCCAGAUCUAUAGUUAUCAGCUCUCCAAGUAGCCUUGGUUUAUUUUAAUAGAAGAUGGUAUUUCAAGGCUGCAGGGUAGACUCAAAGAAUUCUAUUACCAUAAGAAUGGAAAUGGUUUCUAGGCCUUUUCCAAGGACACCCUUGAAAAAUAUAAUAAUUCCUAAAAUAAAAUAUAAUUCUAUUAACGAGAGAAAAAUGUGUAGAAGUGCAAUAGAGGUAAACAUUGAGUGUUCCUAAGAGGGCACUUACCCUUGCUUGCCUUCUCCCUGAGCCUGAUCCCUUCAUAGGGUGGAGAAAAUGGUAAUAAAACUAUUUUCAGAUUAGGGGAUGAUGAACAUAAAGGGGAUUGACAUGUUGCUUCUCCAGGCAUGGCUCAGGAAGACUGUAAAUUUCUUAGAGCAACUGUAGCAUAACAUGGCACUGAUAGUAUAGAGUGGUGGUGUGUGAGGGAUGCCUCUAGGUGGAUGAAACUGAGGGGAGCUUUACCAAUUAGUGUGGAAGAGAGGCUAAAAUUUCUUUUGAAGGUGGCUUUGGGAUUUAGAAAACCCUUAGUGUUGGACUUAUCAUGCUACAGAAUUACCUGAAUGGAGACCCAACAUACAGAAAUCAAAAGGGAACUCAUCUCCUGAAGCCACUGAUGUAGAUAGUCAAAAGAUGCUGGAGAUCAGAUUUUCUAUAGUAAGCCAGGUUGGACCACGGAUCAUGGGACUUGACAUCUAUCCCCCAGGUAAAUAAAUUUCCUAGAACUUAAUUAUCCCUAUGGAUAAUUGUAGAAUUGAGAGGAAGAGAAUCCCAGAGACCUAUCAACUAGGCAGCAUUAAGAAAAAUCAGAAGGAAAUGAGUUUACCUUGAUAUGGCAAGAUUGAAUUUUCUGUCAUCAGCAGGACAUAAUCAGAAUGCAAGCCCUGAGACCUAUUGCUGAAAAAUAAAGAAAUUUCUGUUUGUGCAUACUUGGGUUGUAUUAGUGGCUCACUGUAAUGGUUAAUCUGAAUUGAAAACAUGAUUGGAUUAAGGUAUGCCUUAAAUUAAGAGGCUUCUGGGUAUGUCAAUGAGGGUGUUGCUACGAAUAAUUGGCAUGUGGGACCGUGAAUGGAAGCAGAGAAUCACCCUAAAUAUGGACAGAACUGUCCAAUAGGUUCAAGGCUUGGGUAGAACAAAAGUUGUAAGAACAAGGAAGUAACAGCAGACAUAGGCUCAGUUUUUGAGCCCCAUUCUUGAUUGCUACUGUGAUCACCUGAGGACAUCAGACUUCAGCAGCUCUUUCACUCUUCCAAAGAAGACUUUGCCCAAUAAGAGAGCUGGACUGUGCUUCUGCUUCUUGGACUGAGCAGUUCUUGGUUACUCCACACUCUCCAGCUUCUGGUUGUGUAAGCCAAUCUAAUAAAUUCUCUUUUUAUAGUCAUGGUUCUUUUCCUCUAGAGAACCUUGAGUGACAUACUCACUUAGAAAGUACUAUGUGUGCUUUUAGUUUUAUCUGUAAAAUACUAACUCAUAAGAAUGCUAUGAGAAAAUGAAUAUAGAGACUUAUUCCAGUAUUCUGGAGUAGAAAUAACCACUCACCAACAAUUUCAGUGGCAAAUUGAGGGAGGAAGCUAUGGAAUGUCUGAUUAUGGUACCACUCAGACCACUCUCGUUUCCAGUUUUAGGAAGUCUUGUUAAUGUCAUAAACUAAUGAACAUAAUUCACUGUUAUGUUGUAAGAAAAUAAAUCUACUAGCUUACAACUUUGAAGAACAGAGCAUUUAAAUGAAUCCAGGGAUAGCAAACGUUUCUAAACUGAACACAUUUUUAUUUUUACCUCCAAGCCCACUAACCUGUCAUGUGAUAUAAGGUGAGAUGGGAGUUGGUAGUGUUAUUCAUUAUUUGAAAAAGCCAUCCCUUCCAAUUUCCACAUUUCUUCCUUUUUCAAAUGGCAGGACUAAGUGCAUAUAGUAUAGAGUCAAAGGAUACAAGAUUGAUGGAUACUUAAAUGUGGCCAGAAAGCCUCUUUCUCAAAAUCUGUGAUAGGAGCAUGUCCUCUAAAUGAUCUACCUGGAUAGGAACAAUCUCCCAGAAUUACUAUGUCCUAGGGGUCAGUGAUUGAGGUCUAUUCCCUGGACAAGCCCCAGAGCUGUAAUUGUGGGUACAUCACCAGUGUAAGGAGUGUCACUUUGGCAGAUGCCAUUAUUUCCAGUGCACCUGAUUGGUUUAAAGUAUCCUCUUUACCACUACUCCCUUCAUCAACAUAUGUAGGGAGUUCUUAGAAAUAUUAAACCACAUGAAUCGCUUUAAAUUCUUUUUGUAACCUGGCUGAAUACAAAUUACAAACAACAAAACAACCACAGAUUAUUCUGACAUGUUAUAAUAACCGCAUAGCCCUAUUUUAUAGACCUAUAAUAUUCACAUAGCAACUUUUUAUAGACAAAAUAUUUUACAUGUAUUAUCUUGUUUUAUUUAUCUUCACAAAAUCCCUGUGAAAUUGGGAGAGGGAUAGAUUAUAGAUAGUUACAAUACCAAUGACAGUUCUUCCCAAGCUGGGGCCUUCAGAAUUAUUAAGGCUGUAGUCAUAGGCAUAGGCAGAUCAGCAAGGUUUUUCUUCAUUUUAACAAGAUGUUCUCCUCCUUGAAAAGGUAUGAAACUAAUAAGUUUUAUAAGGAUUAAAAUUUCCAUUUCCUAUGGCUGAGCCACAUUUGACUGAACUUUUCAAGUUUAUGUGAAAGCCACAUCAGAGUAAAAACUAUAUUCACAUUUCUACUAUAUUAGACCAGUGACUCAGGAGAUAUGGACCAAUGCCAACAAAUUGCUAUCACACAUUAAAGCCUUCAUUUGUACAGCAUCACACCACCUUUUAAAAUUUUAAUCAGUGAAUUUAUUUUUAACUGACAAAUAAUAAGUGUGUAGGUUUAUGGUUUAAAAUGUUAUGUUUUGAUAUAUGAAUACAUUAUAGAAUGAUUAAAUCAAAAUAAGUAACAUACCCAUCAUCUCAUUUAUGCCUUUGUGAUGAGAAUGUUUAAAUUCUACUUCUUUAGAAAUUUUGAAAUACAGUUUAUAUUUCUUCUUUCCCCCUAUUUUAGUUCUCAGAGUGGGCAGGGGGGUGUUGGCUAACACGUCCAUUUAUGGUCUUCCCGCUUACUUCAGGCAUUUGAGACAUCUUAUUUUUACCUUCAAUUUUCCUCUCUGCUCUGGUCUUCCCUUUGGAUUAUACACCCAUGAAGUUUUUCCUACCCUAAACCACAAGUACAGAGAGAAAUCUCGUUACCUCCCUCCUUCCAUAUAUUCUCCACCUCUCUUCCCCAGUCUGGUAUCAGGUUAACUUUCCUAAUGCACCACUUGAAUGUUCAACCUUGCUGCCCAAAAGGUUCCCAGGCCUCCCCAGGAUAUGAAUCCCAGCUUCCUGAGCAUGGCUUAUGCUUUCUUUCCUGCAAGGUUCUACCAGCUUAGUCCAUACUCCUGUCAUCUCACUCUGUCUUUUUGCCAACAACUACCCACUAUUUGGGUUUAUGGGAGUUUCAUGGUUUUAUCACAUAUUCCUUAUACCUGAAAUACCAAUCAUAACCAGCUUGCAUACUAUAAUUUGCCCACACUAAAAAUUCCAACUCAGCCAGGCUUGGUGGCACACACCUGCAAUCCCAGCAACUCUAGAGACUGAGGCAGGAGGAUCGCUGGUUCAAAACCAGCCUCAGCAACAGCAAGGCACUAAGCAACUCAGUGAGACCCUGUCUUUAAAUAAAAUACAAAAUAGGACUGGGAGUGUGGCUCAUGGCUGAGUGCUCCUGAGUUUAAUCCCUAGUACCCACCCCCCGAAAAAUAUCUCAGUUUAAAGGCUACUGCUUUCAGGACAUUGUUCCUAGUUAACUUAAACCCAAACCAAUUCUUCAAAAUCCAUUUAAACUUUAUUUAAUUCUCUCUACCACAUUUGUGCUGUUGAAGUCAGGGACUAUGCCAUACACAUUUUGUAAAAAAUAAAUUACUUUCAUAUCACAUGCUAUCAACAGAUGUUUUCCAACUAAAUUAUAAUUAGAAAUGAAAAUUAAUUUGUUGAAAUGCCCAUUAAUAUUUACACUGAAAAAAAAGUUUCAAUAGUUUUAAAUCUUUAAAAUAAGGUAGUAACUAUAUUAUAUAUUAUUACUAAAAGUUCUCUUGGAUAACCUAUGUGGUUUUUCCCUUCAUAAUAUACAUAUAUAUGUGUGUGUAUGUAUAUGUAUGUAUAUGUAUAUAUAUCAGAUAUUAAAGCCUUCAUUUGUACACCAUCACAUCACCUUUAAAAAUUUUAAUCAUUGAAUUUAUUUUUAAUUGACAAAUAAGUGUUAAUAUGUAUACAUAUAAUAUAUGUAUAUGUAUAUAUAUAUAUAUAUAUAUAUAUAGUAUGAAAAAGUAUGAAACAAAGUUAUUUCUCUAUAUUCCUGAUGUCUAACUUUCUGUGCACCCACACCUACCCUCCCACAUGGUUAAAAACUGAGAUAUCUUUCUCCUCAGAUCAUCUUUUUUCUUAUAAAGACAUUUAUAAAAAAAGAAAUCCAGAUGGAUUCUUUUUCUCCCAAUAUCCUUCCCACACCACCCCCUCCACCCGCCCUGCCCCACAUCCUCCCCUCUAAAGACCAGUGUCAUAUAUACUCACAACUCAAAGCAGCAGAAAUUCUACAAUAAAAAAAGGAUUUGUUGAGGAGCCAUUGUUUUGGAAAGUAAAGGUGGGAUAAAUACAAGGCUGGUAGUGAAUGAGCCCUAAACAGAAGGACACAUGGAAGUAGACUCUGUUUGGGGGAUAAAAUUGUUCCUAAUAGUGCUUAUCCCACAGGAAGAUCUCGAUCCUAUAACAAUCUUAAGGAGAACAAGGAUCCCUGGGCACACUGGCUUCUCUACUUGAGAAUCUAUGGAACUAGGAUUCUGCAACACCAAUCCUGUCUCUACCACUGGAUUAAGUUUUAAUCCAAUGAAUAGGAAAAAGAAAAAAAAUACAAAUUGAAUAAAAACAAUUUACUUGUGCAUCAUCUUUUGCCCUUACCCCAAACUUCCACUAUCAUUUUCUUCUUGACAUCCCACUUGUAGCAUCUUUCUGCCAUCCUUAUUUCCCACAUUUCUUAAACCCAAGGACAGACCUACAGGUUAACAUUGAAAGUAAAUGAGAAUGCAGGCUGGGUAAUUCCAAGUCUCCAAAGCUGAAAAUAGUCAUCUAUUCCCAUCCAGUUUGACAUCUGAACUAGGUGACAGAACUGGGUGGCAGGUGAAAUGGAAAUUACUAUGAACAUUUGUCAUUCAUGGUCAGGCCCUUGUCUUCAGGCCAUCAGGCUAGUAUCUUCCCAAAUGAGCUACUGUCAAAGUACAACUGAUCUAAAAUACUUCUUGUUCUGCAGAUCUCUACCUAAACCCUCUUACUUUGGGGAGAACCCAAAGCACAUAGUUCUACACAUUAUACUUCACAUAAUUGGAUAAUUACUUUGUAUGUAUCUACUUUAAAACAUGGAUCCUGUGAGGGCAGAGACCAUGGUCACCCUAGGACUUUUCCUGUGUCUGACACAUAAGUGGUACUCAGAAAGUCCUUAUUAAAUAAAUACAGGAAUAGCAGGUGAUUUGAAACUUAAGGGGCACAGCUGGUUGAGGAAAAACAUGUUUUGCUCUUUUUCUGAAUUUAUAUGCAUUUGACUGUGUAUAAACACAUGUGUACACAAAGAUACACACACACACACACACACACACAUUCGUCUUUUACUUCCUUAUCACUAAAGAAGUUGCCUGUGUGCCUCUGCUCUAGGACUCUAUGCCUCCCAGCCAUGCCAUUUUUCCUGGGAUGCACUCUUUCUAUCACUCUCUAUCUCUCAGCCACUGUCUACCCUAUUCUUCCUCCAGAUGAUCUGGUGUCUUCCUCUUCCUUUGUUGGUGGUCCAGGAGCUCUGCCAACAAAGAGCACACAAAAGGUAAAAACCUUUCACAAUUGUAUUGAGGACUGGUUGUAUUUACUUUUGCAUUGCUGGAAAACAUUAAAGUUGAGCAGAGGUUUGUGGAGGGCUUGCAUGUCCAUAGAAUGUGACUUCCAAGGCUCUAUCUUCAUAUCUGCUUCAUAUCUUCAGUAUCAACUCUCCAGGGCUUAGCUGCCUGCUCAGGCAUCCUCCUGCCUGGCAAAUAGGACAUGUCUCAAACUUGUCACAGGUUCUUCUUGUAAAGCAUGCUUAUCACUUUAUUGGUACAACUCUCAUCUCACAAUUCCAAGCUGGAUUCCACAAUUUCUCUUUUCCAACCAAAUUUUCCCUUUAAUCUUUAUACUCUAUAUCACUAAAUUCCUAUUGAUCCUCUUUUGGAAAUAUUCAUUAGAUUGUCCCUUUUCAACCCAGGUACACCAUUACAACCCCUUCUAGGCUUUCAUUACCAUCAUAUUCACUUAGUAAUUUUCUAUACUUCAAUAUUUAUACCCCCAUCUACUUGAAAAACUGUUUUAAUCUCAGUACCACCAUUUUUUUUCAGAGUAGCUUUACACUUCUCCUUUUCAGAAAACGAAGACCUGGAAAUCUAUGAAAAAUCGAAUCCCACCCUAUAUAUUUGUUCAAACUUAUGUUCCAAGAUUCCUUGUAGUACACUAUCCCUUCUGUCCAGUUCUCCACCUCAUGGUUCUUUAACCUAGAAGUCCUCUGUCUUCUCUUGCCUAUUCAGAUCUUUUAUGAGGACUUCCCUGGUUAAUCUGACCAUCCUCAGCCAAACAGCAAAUAUUGUUAAGCAUAUACUUUGUGCCAUGCUCAAAGAUCAGUACAGGAGAUAAGACAGGGCCAAAGACAAAUAUGAUCCUUGCCCUCAUACAUUUAUAAUAUAUCUUCAGAUUUUUCCCUACCCUUAUCUGCCAAUAGUGCCUUGCCACUUAAUAUUUAAUUAUCUGCUGACACAUUGCUGACUUCCAUAUAUCCAAUCAAGCAUUUUUCAUCAGCUAGGUAAUCUGGGUAGGACAUUAUAUUAGGCAGAUGGAAGCUGCAAGGUGUAGAGGUUGGAAAUCAUGUCAUUGCUGUAUACAUGCUGUCUAGCACAAUGCCUGCAGGUGAGUGGGUAGUCUAUAACCCUUUCAAAUGAAUACACAUAAUAAAUAGUUAUAAAUAUUGAACAAUCAGAACUUAGGAGUGAGUUAAGGAGUUUGCAAAAGGCUAUACUUCAAAGGAUGAAUGGAAUGUGCACAGACUGAAAAGUGGAUAAGAGCAAGCAAGUGCAACACUGAGCAAGGAAGUGGGGCAGGUUCCCCAGCUGCCACUAUCUGACCUCCUCUGUUUCCAUUGUAAUGGAAUAGAAACAGCCCAGCAAGCCCUUGAAUCAGGAGUAUCCAGAUGAUUGUUCUUGGGGCUAAAACAUGGGUAGAACUAAUGUUUAGAACUUUCACAUUUGUUUGCUGUAAUAAGGUAGGCUAGCUUAUGUUGUGGAAUAAACAGAAAAAAAUGUAUUUCUCGCUCACAAAAGUCUCCUGCAAGCCUAGGUGACUUUCUGUGGUAGCUGUCUUCUAUGUAUUGUUAGAUGUAGUUUAGAUCUGUAGCACCUCACUGUCAACCUGUGUUUUGUAGUUACCAUGGCAAGGAAAGCAAGAACUGGAAAGUCAAGUCCCAGCAACUAAAACUUCAGCACAGAAGUGAAUCAAGGGCCAUUGGCUCAAAAUUCAUCACAUAGCCAUGCCUAACCAUGAGAACGAUGAAGCAUAACCCUCUGUGUGCUCAUCAAUGGGAAAUAACUGGAUAUUGGUAAAUAUCAUUAUAUAAAAUGGAAUUGCAUAUCAUAGAUGCAAUCACUACUUUAUGAAGGCCAAAAUAUAUGAGCUGCUUUGAUCCAACUUUGACUAUAAAAAUGAGACUGCUCCACCCACUGGGGAUAGUAGAAGCAUGAGAUGAAAGGAGUCUGAGUCCCUGAAUGAUUUUUGUGGAGCACAGCCAAGGCGUGAGCCUGCAACUCCCACCUCCAGGUUAUUGGGUGUGAAAGAAACAAACUUUUAUUUGGGCCCUGUGUCUAGAUGUCUCCUUCAGUAGCUUAGCCUAUGCUCCAACAAAGAGAGGAAGAAUCAACAGAGACAAUGAUCUUGACUGGAGUUAGGGCUUAGGUGAGGGAAUAGUGCUGUGGCACAAACCAGACUAAAUAAAUAAAUAGAUAGAUAGAUAGAUAGAUAGAUAGAUAAAAAGACAGAUCGGUUCAUCUCCAAUACACUGAUAGACUUUGAACUAGUAAAAAGUAAGACAGAAACCAUUUUUUUGUAGUUUCUUUAAGAUUUAGCAUAUUCCUACAUCUCAAGGGUGUUCUUUGUAUAUUCUUAUUGGCUGGUUGAUAAUAGAAAAAACAAAAAUAUAAGAAAUCAAAUUCUAUGUCUGACUCUACCAGAGACUCAAGAACCUCUAUAAUAUAGCACACAGUCUCAAGCCUGAGUUCAUACACCACUUCACACACACACACACACACACACACACAUUUAGAAGCCCAGUCUCCAAAUGGAAGAGGAGAUGAUACUUCAGUUAAAAUGUCCAUUGAUCACUGUUCUUCCAAAUGUAGGACAUCACAGAGAAAAACAGCAUGUCUACAGAAGAGACAUUUUUGUUUGCUUGCUCCUUAAGUUUAUUUAUAUUUUUAUUAUUAUUUUUUUGCUCUUAAGUUGUAACAAGAGCUUUCAAGCUUAUUGAUAAAGAAAUGUGUUUAUUACUUUUUCAUUAUUAAAUGAUUUUCUCCUCCUGUUUCCAGAGCAACCAGGAAAGGCAUUGGUUCCAACGAGCAAGGUCAUAUUCAUACCCGAUAAUUUUUGUAAAAUGUUUUACUUAAACAUAGAAAAGCCCACUUACUAGUUCAUUCCAAAUAUUAUAAGAAUUAAGUUGUAGCAAUAAUAUAGCAGAAUAUAAUUCUUCCCUAUGUCAAUAAUUAACUGAAAUAUGUAUCAACUAGAAGAAGGUUAAUAUUCUAAUCUCAUGUUCAGAUAAAUAUCAAAUGAAAUAAUAGCUUAAAGGGGCUGCAUAAGGCAAAGUAAUAUAAAACAAAAAAUAUAGAAUUGACAAAAUAAUUUUGGAAAAGCAAAAUUAAACAUGUUGAUGAUAAAAUAUAUAUUCAUAACCUGACUAACUUAUGAUGAGACAUCUACAUUUAUCUCAUUAGUCUGAUCAUUAUACAAGUUUUCCUAUUAAAUUGACUCUAUAAACAUUGGAUGUGUAACUGAUGUGAUUCUGCAAUCUGUAUAUGGGGUAAAAAUGGGAGCUCAUAACCCACUUGAAUCAAAGUGUGAAAUAUGAUAUAUUAAGAACUAUGUAAUGUUUUGAACAACCAACAAUAAAAAAU